CCGCAGAGGUAUUUAUGGAAAAGGGGCUAGAGCAACAGAAAAUCAAUAUUUGGACUACAAGUACCAUCACAUCCUGUAAACAACGUAAUUACGUCAACGCCAUUGCCGAGCGUCCUUAUAUACAUCACAUGCCCAGGUGUCGGUCUUUUUUUCAUAGUAAAGGUGGGUCUAGGGGUCAACCAUUACAGCGAAGACCCAUGGACGACAGGACCAGAGGUCAACGACGGGGCGAAGGCGGGACCUUUCAAGUGGCUUGGAUUGUGGCAAUUAGCAGGCGGCCAGCGGUGGCGUGGCUUGGCAGGUGGUCUGCUGCAGUGUGGAUUAGCUGGUGGCUGGCACCCUUUGGAGGAUUGGCAGG
ensembl:lncRNA